AUACGGAAGGUCCGGGCGUUAUCCGGAUUUAUUGGGUUUAAAGGGAGCGCAGGCGGAGAUGCAAGCGUGACGUCAAAUUUCGGGGCUCAACCCCGUCUCGCGUCGCGAACUGCGUCCCUUGGUUGCGGGAAGGGGAGGCGGAACUCGUGGGGUAGCGGUGAAAUGCAUAGAUAUCACGAAGAACUCCGAGCGCGAAGGCAGCCUUCCGGCCCGUCAACGACGCUCAUGCUCGAAGGUGCGGGUAUCAAACAGGAUUAGAUACCCUGGUAGUCCGCACAGUAAACGAUGGACACCCGCGGUUUGGCCUGUAUGGCUGAGCCGCCAAGCGAAAGCGUUAAGUGUCCCACCUGGGGAGUACGCCGGCAACGGUGAAACUCAAAGGAAUUGACGGGG
rnacentral:rRNA from 1 species